UUUAAUCUUCGAAUUAAUAUUUGGUACUAUCAAGCACCUGAAUUAAUAUUUGGUGCAACUAAAUACACCACAACCAUUGACAUCUGUUCUAGCCUCUGUUUGCUGGUGAGAGUGGAGUAGACUAGGUUGUUGAAAUUAUUAAGGUAGGUUUUACUUCAAAAUUCUAAUCAAUAAUAGUUUUAUUAUGAUUAUUUUGGAAAAAUUAAUAUUUGGGGCUGCGAUUUUGUAUAGAUUUAAUUGCUGGUUGUGUUUCGAGCAGAACUAUUUUGUUUCCAAAUUAUUUUUAAAUUUUUGUUGUUGAAAAUAUUUAUAAAUUAGUUACACGAUAAUAAGAUUUU